UACGAAGGGGCUAGCGUUGCUCGGAAUCACUGGGCGUAAAGGGUGCGUAGGCGGGUUUUAAGUCAGGGGUGAAAUCCUGGAGCUCAACUCCAGAACUGCCUUUGAUACUGAAGAUCUUGAGUCCGGGAGAGGUGAGUGGAACUGCGAGUGUAGAGGUGAAAUUCGUAGAUAUUCGCAAGAACACCAGUGGCGAAGGCGGCUCACUGGCCCGGUACUGACGCUGAGGCACGAAAGCGUGGGGAGCAAACAGG
rnacentral:rRNA from 1 species